GAUGAACGCUAGCGGGAGGCUUAACACAUGCAAGUCGAGGGGCAUCACGAGGUAGCAAUACUUUGGUGGCGACCGGCGCACGGGUGAGUAACACGUAUGCAACCUUCCCUGUACAGGGGGAUAACCCGGAGAAAUUCGGACUAAUACCCCAUGAUGAUAUUAUGGGGCAUCCUUUAAUAUUUAAAGCUCUGGCGGUACAGGAUGGGCAUGCGCGACAUUAGAUAGUUGGUAGGGUAACGGCCUACCAAGUCUACGAUCAUUAGGGGUUCUGAGAGGAAGGUCCCCCACACUGGUACUGAGACACGGACCAGACUCCUACGGGAGGCAGCAGUGAGGAAUAUUGGUCAAUGGGCGAGAGCCUGAACCAGCCAAGUCGCGUGAAGGAAGAAGGUUCUAUGGAUUGUAAACUUCUUUUGCAGGGGAAUAAAUGACGGUACGUGUACUGUUUUGUAUGUACCUUGCGAAUAAGGAUCGGCUAACUCCGUGCCAGCAGCCGCGGUAAAACGUCUA
rnacentral:rRNA from 1 species